rnacentral:rRNA from 1 species
GUGGGGAAUUUUGGACAAUGGGCGCAAGCCUGAUCCAGCAAUGCCGCGUGCAGGAAGAAGGCCUUCGGGUUGUAAACUGCUUUUGUACGGAACGAAACGGUCCUGGCUAAUACCUGGGGCUAAUGACGGUACCGUAAGAAUAAGCACCGGCUAACUACGUGCCAGCAGCCGCGGUAAUACGUAGGGUGCGAGCGUUAAUCGGAAUUACUGGGCGUAAAGCGUGCGCAGGCGGUGCUGUAAGACAGGCGUGAAAUCCCCGGGCUCAACCUGGGAAUUGCGCUUGUGACUGCAGUGCUGGAGUGCGGCAGAGGGGGAUGGAAUUCCGCGUGUAGCAGUGAAAUGCGUAGAUAUGCGGAGGAACACCGAUGGCGAAGGCAAUCCCCUGGGCCUGCACUGACGCUCAUGCACGAAAGCGUGGGGAGCAAACAGGAUUAGAAACCCGAGUAGUCC